CUUACACAUGCAGUCGAACGAUGAUGGGAGCUUGCUCCUGGAUUAGUGGCGAACGGGUGAGUAACACGUGAGUAACCUGCCCUUAACUCUGGGAUAAGCCUGGGAAACUGGGUCUAAUACCGGAUAUGACUCCUCAUCGCAUGGUGGGGGGUGGAAAGCUUUUUGUGGUUUUGGAUGGACUCGCGGCCUAUCAGCUUGUUGGUGAGGUAAUGGCUUACCAAGGCGACGACGGGUAGCCGGCCUGAGAGGGUGACCGGCCACACUGGGACUGAGACACGGCCCAGACUCCUACGGGAGGCAGCAGUGGGGAAUAUUGCACAAUGGGCGCAAGCCUGAUGCAGCGACGCCGCGUGAGGGAUGACGGCCUUCGGGUUGUAAACCUCUUUCAGUAGGGAAGAAGCGAAAGUGACGGUACCUGCAGAAGAAGCGCCGGCUAACUACGUGCCAGCAGCCGCGGUAAUACGUAGGGCGCAAGCGUUAUCCGGAAUUAUUGGGCGUAAAGAGCUCGUAGGCGGUUUGUCGCGUCUGCCGUGAAAGUCCGGGGCUCAACUCCGGAUCUGCGGUGGGUACGGGCAGACUAGAGUGAUGUAGGGGAGACUGGAAUUCCUGGUGUAGCGGUGAAAUGCGCAGAUAUCAGGAGGAACACCGAUGGCGAAGGCGGGUCUCUGGGCAUUAACUGAC
rnacentral:rRNA from 1 species